UCGUAACAAGGUCUCCGUUGGUGAACCAGCGGAGGGAUCAUUACAGAGUUAUACAACUCCCAUACCAUCUGUCAACCUACCCAGCUAUGCCUCGGCGUAAGCUCGGCCGGGGGCGGUCCGGCGCUACCCUGUAGCGGCGGCCGCGCCACCUCGGCCGCGCCCGCCGGCGGUACACUAAACUAUGUUUUACUUUACCUUCUGAGCGUCUUAUUUUAAUAAGUUAAAACUUUCAACAACGGAUCUCUUGGUUCUGGCAUCGAUGAAGAACGCAGCGAAAUGCGAUAAGUAAUGUGAAUUGCAGAAUUCAGUGAAUCAUCGAAUCUUUGAACGCACAUUGCGCCCAUCAGUAUUCUGGUGGGCAUGCCUGUUCGAGCGUCAUUUCAACCCUUAAGCCUAGCUUAGUGUUGGGACUCUACUGUACUGUAGUUCCCCAAAGACAGUGGCGGAGCGGCAGUGGUCCUCUGAGCGUAGUAAUUCAUUUCUCGCUCCUGUCAGGCCCUGUCCUCCCGCCGUAAAACCCCCAUCUUUUAGUGGUUGACCUCGGAUCAGGUAGGAAUACCCGCUGAACCUAAGCA
rnacentral:misc_RNA from 1 species